rnacentral:rRNA from 1 species
UACAGAGGUCCCAAGCGUUGUUCGGAUUUACUGGGCGUAAAGGGCGCGUAGGCGGUCAGCACAAGUCAGUUGUGAAAUCUCCGGGCUUAACUCGGAAAGGUCAACUGAUACUGUGCGGCUAGAGUGCAGAAGGGGCAACUGGAAUUCUCGGUGUAGCGGUGAAAUGCGCAGAUAUCAGGAGGAACACCGAUGGCGAAGGCAGGUCUCUGGGCCAUAACUGACGCUGAGAAGCGAAAGCAUGGGGAGCGAACAGG